rnacentral:rRNA from 1 species
GACGAACGCUGGCGGCGUGCUUAACACAUGCAAGUCGAGCGGAAAGGCCCUUUCGGGGGUACUCGAGCGGCGAACGGGUGAGUAACACAUGAGUAAUCUGCCCUGCGCUUCGGGAUAACCAUCGGAAACGGUGGCUAAUACCGGAUAUGACCACUUCGGGCAUCCGAUGGUGGUGGAAAGUUUUUUCGGCGCAGGAUGUGCUCGCGGCUUAUCAGCUUGUUGGUGGGGUAAUGGCCUACCAAGGCUUCGACGGGUAGCCGGCCUGAGAGGGUGACCGGCCACACUGGGACUGAGACACGGCCCAGACUCCUAGGGGAGGCAGCAGUGGGGAAUAUUGGACAAUGGGCGGAAGCCUGAUCCAGCCAUGCCGCGUGCAGGAUGAAGGCCUUCGGGUUGUAAACCGCUUUUGUCCAGGAAGAAGCCGCAAGGUGACGGUACUGGGAGAAAAAGGACCGGCUAACUACGUGCCAGCCGCCGCAGUAAGAC